rnacentral:rRNA from 1 species
UACGAAGGGGGCUAGCGUUGCUCGGAAUCACUGGGCGUAAAGGGUGCGUAGGCGGGUCUUUAAGUCAGAGGUGAAAUCCUGGAGCUCAACUCCAGAACUGCCUUUGAUACUGAAGAUCUUGAGUUCGGGAGAGGUGAGUGGAGCUGCGAGUGUAGAGGUGAAAUUCGUAGAUAUUCGCAAGAACACCAGUGGCGAAGGCGGCUCACUGGCCCGAUACUGACGCUGAGGCACGAAAGCGUGGGGAGCAAACAGG